ACGGGUGAGUAACGCGUAGACAACCUACCUUCUAGAUGGGGACAACACCGCGAAAGUGGUGCUAAUACCGAAUGUUGUACUGCGGGAGCAUUUCUGUGGUACUAAAGGUGGCCUCUAUUUAUAAGCUACCGCUAGAAGACGGGUCUGCGUCUGAUUAGCUAGUUGGAGGGGUAACGGCCCACCAAGGCGACGAUCAGUAGCCGGUCUGAGAGGAUGAACGGCCACACUGGGACUGAGACACGGCCCAGACUCCUACGGGAGGCAGCAGUGGGGAAUCUUCCGCAAUGGACGAAAGUCUGACGGAGCAACGCCGCGUGAGUGAAGAAGGUCUUCGGAUUGUAAAGCUCUGUUAUUAGGGAAGAACGUACUAUGUGUGAAUAAUGCAUAGUAGUGACGGUACCUAAGGAGGAAGCCACGGCUAACUACGUGCCAGCAGCCGCGGUAAUACGUAGGUGGCAAGCGUUGUCCGGAAUUAUUGGGCGUAAAGAGCGUGUAGGUGGGAUGAUAAGUCCAUCUUAAAAGUGCGGGGCUCAACCCCGUGAUGGGAUGGAAACUAUCAUUCUUGAGUGCAGGAGAGGAAAGCGGAAUU
rnacentral:rRNA from 1 species